rnacentral:rRNA from 1 species
AAUCAAACCCGGAGAUAUCUCGUUCUCCCCGAAAUAGCUUUAGGGCUAGCCUCGGCCGUUCUCCGACGGCGGUAGAGCACUGGAUCGUCGAGGGGGCUUCACCGCCUACCGACACGAACCAAACUCCGAAUGCCGCCGGAUCAGAGGCCGGGAGUCAGAACAUGUGGGCUAAGCUGUGUGUUCGAGAGGGAAACAGCCCAGACCGCCCGCUAAGGUCCCCAAGUUUAUGCUGAGUGGCAAAGGAUGUGCGUUUGCCUAGACAACCAGGAUGUUGGCUUAGAAGCAGCCAUGCAUUUAAAGAGUGCGUAACAGCUCACUGGUCAAGUGGACAUGCGCCGACAAUUCACGGGGCUAAGCAUGGUACCGAAGCGGCGGACUAAUCUAUAUUAGUGGUAGGGGAGCUUUCCCCGCAGCGGAGAAGCCGAGAGGGCGACCCUCGGUGGAGCGCGGGGAAGUGAGAAUGCUGGCAUGAGUAACGAGAGCGGCGCGAGAAACGCCGCCGCCGUAAGCCUAAGGGUUCCUGGGCAAGGCUAAUCCUCCCAGGGUCAGUCGGGAGCUAAGGCGAGGCCGAGAGGCGUAGCCGAUGCGCAACAGGCGGACAUUCCUGUACCGCCUGCGGACCGCUAUCACCGACGGGGUGACGGAGAAGGGUAGCCGAGCGGGGUUCUGGACGUCCCCGUGAAAGCGCGUAGGGAGCAUCGCAUGGAAAUCAGCGGUGCAUGUAUCCUGAGACGCGAGACGAAAGCUUAUGCUGAAGUCGGCGAGCCCAUGCUUCCGAGAAAAACCUCUAGGAAGGGACGCAGGCGCCCGUACCAAAACCGACACAGGUGGGCAGGUAGAGCAUACCGAGGCGAUCGGGAGAACCAUGGUUAAGGAACUCGGCAUACUGACUCCGUAACUUCGGGAGAAGGAGUGCCCCUGGCGGUGACGGGACUAGCUCCCCGAGCGGCCGGGGGUCGCAGCGAAACGGCCCAAGCGACUGUUUAUCAAAAACACAGGACUCUGCAAAGCCGUAAGGCGACGUAUAGGGUCUGACGCCUGCCCGGUGCUGGAAGGUUACGCGGAUGGGUCAGCCGCAAGGCGAAGCUCUGAAGCCAAGCCCCAGUAAACGGCGGCCGUAACUAUAACGGUCCUAAGGUAGCGAAAUUCCUUGUCGGGUAAGUUCCGACCUGCACGAAUGGCGUAACGAUUUGGGCGCUGUCUCAACCAUGGACCCGGUGAAAUUGUAUUAUUCGUGAAGAUGCGAAUUACCUGCGGAAGGACGGAAAGACCCCGUGAACCUUUACUGCAGCUUGACAUUGAUCGUUGGCUCGGCGCGUAGAGGAUAGGCAGGAGGCUGCGAAGCCCGGGCGCCAGCCCGGGCGGAGCCGACCUUGGAAUACUGCCCUCGUCGCGUCGGCGAUCUAACCCCCGGCCGUGAUCCGGCGGGGGGACCGUGUCAGGCGGGUAGUUUGACUGGGGCGGUCGCCUCCCAAAACGUAACGGAGGCGCGCAAAGGUCCGCUCAGAACGGUCGGCAACCGUUCGCAGAGCGCAAGAGUACAAGCGGGCUUGACUGCGAGGCCCACAAGCCGAGCAGAGACGAAAGUCGGUUCUAGUGAUCCGGCGGCACAGAGUGGAAUGGCCGUCGCUCAACGGAUAAAAGGUACUCCGGGGAUAACAGGCUGAUCUUGCCCAAGAGUCCACAUCGACGGCAAGGUUUGGCACCUCGAUGUCGGCUCAUCGCAUCCUGGGGCUGAAGUCGGUCCCAAGGGUUGGGCUGUUCGCCCAUUAAAGCGGUACGCGAGCUGGGUUCAGAACGUCGUGAGACAGUUCGGUCCCUAUCCUCCGCAGGCGCAAGAGGAUUGAGGAGGUCUGCCCCUAGUACGAGAGGACCGGGGUGGACGGACCUCUGGUGCAGCAGUUGUCGACCAACGGCACGGCUGCCUAGCUACGUCCGGCACGGAUAACCGCUGAAAGCAUCUAAGUGGGAAGCCGUCUCCAAGAUGAGUCCUCUUUCCGGUAAGGGCCCAGGCAGAACACCUGGUCGAUAGGCCGCAGGUGCAAGGCGUGCGAGCGCCUCAGCCGAGCGGUACUAAUAGCCCGAGCUCUUCUUCC